rnacentral:rRNA from 1 species
UUAGAGUUUGAUCCUGGCUCAGGAUGACCCUUUGCGGCGUGCCUAAUACAUGCAAGUCGAACGCUUCACUUCGGUGAAGAGUGGCGAACGGGUGAGUAAUACAUAAGUAACCUGGCAUCUACAGGGGGAUAACUGAUGGAAACGUCAGCUAAGACCGCAUAGGUGUAGAGAUCGCAUGAACUCUAUAUGAAAAGUGCUACGGGACUGGUAGAUGAUGGACUUAUGGCGCAUCAGCUUGUUGGUAGGGUAACGGCCUACCAAGGCGACGAUGCGUAGCCGACUUGAGAGGGUGACCGGCCACACUGGGACUGAGACACGGCCCAGACUCCUACGGGAGGCAGCAGUAGGGAAUUUUCGGCAAUGGGGGAACCCUGACCGAGCAACGCCGCGUGAAGGAAGAAGUAAUUCGUUAUGUAAACUUCUGUCAUAGAGGAAGAACGGUGGAUAUAGGGAAUGAUAUCCAAGUGACGGUACUCUAUAAGAAAGCCACGGCUAACUACGUGCCAGCAGCCGCGGUAAUACGUAGGUGGCGAGCGUUAUCCGGAAUUAUUGGGCGUAAAGAGGGAGCAGGCGGCACUAAGGGUCUGUGGUGAAAGAUCGAAGCUUAACUUUGGGUAACCCAUGGAAACCGUAGAGCUAGAGUGUGUGAGAGGAUCGGGGAAUUCCAUGGGUAGCGGUGAAAUGCGUAGAUAUAUGGAGGAACACCAGUGGCGAAGGCGACGAUCUGGCGCAUAACUGACGCUCAGUCCCGAAAGCGUGGGGAGCAAAUAGGAUUAGAUACCCUAGUAGUCCACGCCGUAAACGAUGAGUACUAAGUGUUGGGUGUCAAAGCUCAGUGCUGCAGUUAACGCAAUAAGUACUCCGCCUGAGUAGUACGUUCGCAAGAAUGAAGCUCAAAGGAAUUGACGGGGGCCCGCACAAGCGGUGGAGCAUGUGGUUUAAUUCGAAGCAACGCGAAGAACCUUACCAGGUCUUGACAUCGAUCUAAAGGCUCUAGAGAUGGAGAGAUAGCUAUAGAGAAGACAGGUGGUGCAUGGUUGUCGUCAGCUCGUGUCGUGAGAUGUUGGGUUAAGUCCCGCAACGAGCGCAACCCCUGUUGCCAGUUGCCAGCAUUAAGUUGGGGACUCUGGCGAGACUGCCGGUGACAAGCCGGAGGAAGGCGGGGAUGACGUCAAAUCAUCAUGCCCCUUAUGACCUGGGCUACACACGUGCUACAAUGGACAGAGCAGAGGGAAGCGAAGCCGCGAGGUGGAGCGAAACCCAUAAAACUGUUCUCAGUUCGGACUGCAGUCUGCAACUCGACUGCACGAAGAUGGAAUCGCUAGUAAUCGCGAAUCAGCAUGUCGCGGUGAAUACGUUCUCGGGCCUUGCACACAGCGCCCGUC